rnacentral:rRNA from 1 species
AUUGAACGCUGGCGGCAUGCUUUACACAUGCAAGUCGAACGGUAACAGGUUAAGCUGACGAGUGGCGAACGGGUGAGUAAUGCAUCGGAACGUGCCCGAUCGUGGGGGAUAACGCAGCGAAAGCUGCGCUAAUACCGCAUACGAUCUGAGGAUGAAAGCGGGGGACCGUAAGGCCUCGCGCGAUCGGAGCGGCCGAUGUCAGAUUAGGUAGUUGGUGGGGGAAAGGCACACCACGCCGACGAUCUGGAGCUGGUGUGAGAGGACGACCAGCCACACGGGGACGGAGACACGGCCCAGACUCCUACGGGAGGCAGCAGUGGGGAAUUUUGGACAAUGGGCGAAAGCCUGAUCCAGCAAUGCCGCGUGCAGGAAGAAGGCCUUCGGGUUGUAAACUGCUUUUGUACGGAGCGAAAAGGCUCUCUCUAAUACAGGGGGCUCAUGACGGUACCGUAAGAAUAAGCACCGGCUAACUACGUGCCAGCCGCCGCGGUAACAC